rnacentral:lncRNA from 13 species
ACAGGCACACGGAGCAGCACCGACGCAGCCAGGGCACGGGCGAUGCGGUGGGAAAGCUAAGAGCUGGCAAUAUCAUAAUUGUCCAUGGUGUACAGAAGCUGUCCUGGAAUAAUAGCAAAGAUGACCUUAUUGGCAUUUUUUUAUUAUCUCCUCUGAGGAAGGGAAGAGUCCCAGCACUGCAAGGAAACUAAUGAGUUGAGAAUUCUGUAUUUUCAUUGCAUGUUGGAAAUAAACAUGAUGAAUAAUGCCAUCUUCCUUAAUACAACUUGCUUGCACAGGUAAAUGAAUUGGAUAUGGGAAUACCAAGAUGUGCUCUUCAGCAUCAGUAUCG